AGGAAAAUCGCUUGGACCCGGGAGGCAGAGGCUGCAGUGAGCCAAGAUUGCACCACUGCACUCCAGCCUGGGCAACAAGA
rnacentral:snRNA from 1 species